rnacentral:RNase_P_RNA from 1 species
GGAUGCCAGACGGUCGCAGGCAGCUUGCUGCUUGAGGAAAGUCCGAGCACCGCAGGGCAGGGUGCCGGUGAAAUGCCGGCGGAGGCGACUUCAGGGAAAGUGCAACAGAAAUAGACCGCAGUAUUUUAUACUGUAAGGGUGGAAAGGCGAGGUAAGAGCUCACCAGCGGCCUGGCGACUCGUCCGCUCUGUAAACCCCACCUGGUGCAAGAUCAGUUGAGCAUUAUGCGGCGGCCCGUCGCGCUCACAAGCAUCGCUUGAGCCUACUGGCAACUUUAGGCCCAGACAGAUGAUCGUCAAAUACAGAACUCGGCUUACAGACA